AAAUCAUCCUCUCACUUGCUUUUUCACCUUCUAAGGCAUUUGUUGUUCUCUCUUGUAGUAUUUCACUUGUAUUCUUUGUAGAGUGAAUAAAUAUUAGUGCAGUUGUUCUUUGGUGGACGUAAGAUCAUUUUUUAUCCAAAUCACGUUAAAUAUUGUUGUUCUUCCUUGUUCUUUAAUUUCACGCUUCCGCUAACAAAGUUAAUGAAUGAAUAGUUUCCUCUGCUUCAAUCGGAAUGGUUUUUGAUUGUCGCGACAGCAGAGACAAAAAGCUAUGAGAAAUUGUCUUAGGAUCUUUGAAAUGCUUCCUUUCUUAAGAUUAUGGAAAGACGCUAGAGAAAUUUAGGAAUGACACUGCUAUUAUUUUCAGGUCUUUAUAUGUUGAACAUCGAGUUGUAGGCGUGCUAUAUCUGAAGAAAUUCCUCUUUGCUUGAAGUUGAAAGAAGAUUAGGAACUCCUAUCAACGCCAUGCUCUCCAUCCCCCACACAAGUUUUGCUGGUUUAAUGGGCUGCUGCUUUUAGUAUAUCAAUGAAAGUGCAAAGACCACAUGUUCAAGAGUUCACAUCAAAAAAUUUAUACAUACACCAAAUAUUAUUAUAUUUGUUCAAUUGUUGUUUAUAUUAACGUAUUUGUGAGCCUUACUGGUGGAAUAAUGAUGUGAAACCACAAAUGUAUCUCUAUUCAUCAAAGUCUUAAAAGAUAAUUUUCAGGUAAGUUUUUCUA